GAUGAACGCUGGCGGCGUGCCUAAUACAUGCAAGUCGAGCGAACAGACGAGGAGCUUGCUCCUCUGACGUUAGCGGCGGACGGGUGAGUAACACGUGGAUAACCUACCUAUAAGACUGGGAUAACUUCGGGAAACCGGAGCUAAUACCGGAUAACAUGUUGAACCGCAUGGUUUAACAGUGAAAGACGGUCUUGCUGUCACUUAUAGAUGGAUCCGCGCCGCAUUAGCUAGUUGGUAAGGUAACGGCUUACCAAGGCAACGAUGCGUAGCCGACCUGUGAGGGGGGUCGGCCACACUGGAACUGAGACACGGUCCAGACUCCUACGGGAGGCAGCAGUAGGGAAUCUUCCGCAGUGGGCGAAAGCCUGACGGAGCAACGCCGCGUGAGUGAAGAAGGUCUUCGGAUCGUAAAACUCUGUUAUUAGGGAAGAACAAAUGUGUAAGUAACUAUGCACGUCUUGACGGUACCUAAUCAGAAAGCCACGGCUAACUACGUG
rnacentral:rRNA from 1 species